rnacentral:rRNA from 1 species
UACGUAGGGGGCAAGCGUUGUCCGGAAUCAUUGGGCGUAAAGAGCGUGUAGGCGGCCCGGUAAGUCCGCUGUGAAAGUCCAGGGCUCAACCCUGGGAUGCCGGUGGAUACUGUCGGGCUCGAGUCCGGAAGAGGCGAGUGGAAUUCCUGGUGUAGCGGUGAAAUGCGCAGAUAUCGGGAGGAACACCAAUGGCGAAGGCAGCUCGCUGGGACGGUACUGACGCUGAGACGCGAAAGCGUGGGGAGCAAACAGG